rnacentral:lncRNA from 1 species
GUAGUAAGUCAUAGGAAAAGACUUAAAGCAAGAAAUACACAUUAAAUUGAUGCAUAACAGAACCACAUUUAUUUAACAAUGUGUUCCAGGAAUAAGGGACAAAUUUCAACAAUGUAAAAACUGAAAUUACCUUUGUAUCAACCUAAUACUUGUGAUACUUUGUAUGACUAGAGAUAGACUGUAUCUGUUCUGUGAUUGACUUGUUUUGCUUAGUAUAAUGUCCUUGAGGUUCAUCUGUUGCCUCCAUGUUCUCUUAAAGGCAGGUAAGCAGUUUGGGUACAUAAUAGGUCUUAAAUGGUCUCCCCCCACCACCCUCCCAAAACCUUCACCCCUACUUCCCACAGUGUGCUGAACUCUCACUUAAAGCAUUAAUCAAGAAAAUGCCUCACAGAUUUGCCUACAGCAAUCUGAUGGAGGCAAUAGUUUAAUUAAGGUUCAUUCAUUGUCAGGUCAUUAGCAAACACUGUUACCCCCUGAGCCAUCUUGCUGGUACUUGAACUAGUGUUUUAAACAAUUCAAAAUUAGUAGUGUAGUUCAAUAGUAAUGUACUUAGUGUACAUGAAGCCUCUUGCUUUAAUCUUUAGCACCAUUAAAAAAGAAAAUAGUUGAUAUAGCUAUGUCUUAUGGUUCAUACCUGUAAUCCAGCAUUUUUGAGGCUGUGGCAAGACUGUGGCAAGGCUGUGGCAAGUUUGAGGUUUACCUGGGCUACAUAGUGAGAUCCUAUCUCAAGAAACAAAACCUUAAAUGAGUACACAAAUUUAAAAGAAUAAAUUGGCUAGUUUGAGCUUAGUGGUAUUCAGUACUUGGGUAAUUUAUCAGCUAAAGAAGUAAAAAUUGCAUUAUAGAUAUUCUAGAAAAGAAAAUUUCAAAUUAUUUAUUGGGUGCCUGUACUGGCUGGCUUUGUGUGUCAUUUUGACAUAGGCUAGCAUUAUCACAGAGAAAGGAGCUUCAGUUGGGGAAGUGUCUCCAUGAGUUCCAGCUGUGGGGCAUUUUCUCAAUUAGUGAUUAAGUGGGGAGGGCCCCUAGUGAGUGGUACCAUCUCUGAGCUGGUAGUAAGAAAGCAAGAUGAGCAAGCCAGGAAAGAAGCCAGUGAGUAACAUCCCUCCAUGGCCUCUGCAUCAGCUCCUGCUUCAGUUCCAGUCCUGACUUCCUUUGGUGAUGAACAGCAGUGUGGAAGUGUAAGCUGAAUAAACCCUUUCCACCCUGACUAAGACAGUGCCCUACCCAGCUUUAUCCAUUAGGACAAAUUGAAGGAUGAAAUGCUUUAGAAAGAGACAUUCUAUAUGGUAACACAAUAACCUUUAAGUUCAGAGAACUUAAAGUGUCUUGUCUUUUCUACCACCUAUGAUUCUUAGAAAAGCUAAUCUAAACUAGUAUGGUGUGUGUUGGAGGCUGGGGGUGGGGUGGGCCAGAGUUUCUAUGUCUUUUUUUUGCUCAUAUGAUGGAGUAGUUACUGAAACUGAUUUUAUUUGCUUGAUGGUAGGGCCCAAGUGUUCUGACUAAGACAGCUCAACCAGGAUCCCAAGUCCCUGAGAUUCAUACUCGGUUGGUUUCUUAGGAGUUUGCAUACUUCUUUCUUUGGUUUUUCCCUUCUCUUCCCCCUUUCCUUCCUCCUUCCUUCCCCCUUUCCCUUUUUCACUUUUCCUUUUCUUUCUGGAUUCUGCGUAGAGAUAGUCCAGGAUGGCCUCUUUUUCUUACCUUCCUAAAAGGAAGAGCUAAACUUU